ensembl:lncRNA
CCGCGAGACAAGGAACGCCAGACAGCCAGUGAGGAUUUGGGAUUUCAAUAGACUAAUGUGAAAACAUUAUCGUCUGUGGAUUCAGAGGCAGCGAGAAAAAGGACGACAUGCGUUUUGUUAUUUUACGCAUUAAUAAUAACCUAACCACACUAAACUGUAAGGAAACCCUUUAAAACAUGUUUUGUAUUUGCCUUAUUCCAAAAAAAUGAAGGUUGAACGUUAAUCGUGCAGUUAUUGAAUAAUUUGACCCGUUUUCGGUAUCUUGGAGGGAAUGGCUUGACUCUGGUGGUGAGAGGAGGAGAAAAGGGGGCAUAUCACCACCUGCGAGGGACUUCCAAUGCUCUCUCCAUCGAUCACCAGUCGAUUUACCCACAUUGAAGAAUGAAGAUACGGCACAACGAGUUCUAGUGGAUAGCCUACAAUAGUCGGUUCGCGUGGUGCGCGGGGGACGCCAACGCGAGCCUUCAUGGGUAGAUUAUCUCUGUAAAUCAACUUAGAUACAACGUUUAUCAUACUUUAAAACCCAGCAAAAACGGACCAGGUUGGAUAAUAUUAUUCAUAAAGUGAAAUAAAGCAUGUGGAUUAUUGUUCCCAAGAGACACUUAUUCCGCGCAGACAUGGUGAACUGAGGAGUUGCUAAAGCUACAAAGAAUAUAUCAGAACCGAUUCUGAUCUCGCGUUGAAACCGACCGCCGCCGUGUGUUUUUAAGUGCACAGGUGGUCCAUCAUUUUAAGGUCGCAUAAUUUGCAACUAUGUUAUGUGAAUGUCUUCACCGUCUCAGCUGGAAUGUGUAUACUUCGGAUUCCCUGACUUAUUCCUGACUGGAUAUUGGCAACUGUUUUGGGGGAUUUGAGCAAGUUAAGAUAAAAGACAGAAGAAAACAGAAGAAUAUUCUCGGUGUUGUGUGAGAAUUUCCCUCUUCUCCUCAACGACUGGCGACGCAACACUCAUUGAUGUCAGAAAAGACUGCCCUGCUGCCAUGACGACGAAGGAGGAGGGUCCCGGAGCAGAGGUGGCCGUCUCCAUCUCCAGGGACGACGAGAUGCCCCUCCCCCGCCGUGGCUCCUCCCUCGAGGAAGAGGAGGAGGAGAAAGAGCGGCGGAUGGAGCGGAGGAUGGAGGGAUCGAUCCUAGAAGAACAAGUGAUGGAAGAAGAGGAGGAGUGCAACGGUGACAAUAAUGAUGAUGCGAGCAGUGACAUCAGCACCCUAAUAGUUCCGUAUCCUGAGCUGGCUCCUGUCAUCUUCUUCUGUCUCAAGCAGACCACGUUCCCCAGGAGCUGGUGUAUACGUGCCGUGUCCAGCCCAUAUCCUUUACCGCUAUGACCUCUGACCUCUAACCCCUUACCCUUCAACUUGC